CCUACGGGAGGCAGCAGUGGGGAAUUUUGGACAAUGGACGCACGUCUGAUCCAGCAAUUCCGCGUGCAGCUCGAAGGCCUUCGGACUGUAAACUGCUUUUGUACACUACGAAGAGGUCUCUAUUAAUACUAGGGGCUCAUGAUAGUACUGUAAGAAUAAGGUACGGCUAACUACGUGCCAGCAGCCGCGGUAAUACGUAGGGUGCAAGCGUUAAUCGGAAUUACUGGGCGUAAAGCGUGCGCAGGCGGUUAUAUAAGACAGAUGUGAAAUCCCCGGGCUCAACCUGGGAACUGCAUUUGUGACUGUAUAGCUGGAGUGCGGCAGAGGGGGAUGGAAUUCCGCGUGUAGCAGUGAAAUGCGUAGAUAUGCGGAGGAACACCGAUGGCGAAGGCAAUCCCCUGGGCCUGCACUGACGCUCAUGCACGAAAGCGUGGAGAGCAAACAGGAUUAGAUACCCUGGUAGUCCACUCAGGAAACGAUGUCAACUGGUUGUUGGGUCUUCACUGACUCAGUAACGAAGCUAACGCGUGA
rnacentral:rRNA from 1 species